UAUAGGUUUGGUCCCAGCCUUCCUGUUAACUUUCAAUAGACUUAUACAUGCAAGCAUCCACGCCCCGGUGAGUAACGCCCUUCGAAUCACACAGGACUAAAAGGAGCAGGUAUCAAGCACACACUCUUGUAGCUCACAACGCCUUGCUUAACCACACCCCCACGGGAGACAGCAGUAACAAAAAUUAAGCCAUAAACGAAAGUUUGACUAAGCCAUAUUGACUAGGGUUGGUAAAUCUCGUGCCAGCCACCGCGGUCAUACGAUUGACCCAAGCUAACAGGAGUACGGCGUAAAGCGUGUUAAAGCAUCAUACUAAAUAGAGUUAAAUUUUAAUUAAACUGUAAAAAGCCAUAAUUAUAACAAAAAUAAAUGACGAAAGUAACCCUACAGUAGCUGAUACACCAUAGCUAAGACCCAAACUGGGAUUAGAUACCCCACUAUGCUUAGCCCUAAACACAAAUAAUUAU
rnacentral:rRNA from 1 species